rnacentral:lncRNA from 1 species
GGACCUCCACAGCCAUGGGUGCGGCCCUAAAAAAGACCAAAAAAAAGGUGAACAAAUGCAGUUCUGACACAUCCUACAACACGGAUGACCCUUGAAGACACUCAUAAGCCAGACACAAAGCAGAAGCAAAUAUUGUCUGAUUCCACUUAGGUACGAUAGCGCUCAAAUCUGAGACAGUGAGCGAAACAGGCUACCACGGGCUGAGGGGCACAAAUGGGAGGGCGUUUAAUGGGCACAGCCCUUCCGUUUGGGAAGGAGAAGAGCUCCGGGGGUGCAGGUGGUGACGGCCGCCCAGCAGUGCGGAUGUGCUUCCUGCCACCGAGCGGUGGAGAAAAACACGUCAUGUGAUCGGUUUUGUUCUGAGCACUUUAGCACAAUUACAAACACGCGCAAAGGACUUGGGCAGACGUGUCUCCCAGACAACCAAGCAACCGACACACGAAGAGAUGCUCAACAUCACUGCCCACCAAGAAAACGCAAACUAAAACCACGAGGAGCCACUGCACACCUACCAGGAUGGUGUGGAUUUGGAAAAAAAGAAGAUAAAGGGAUGCGGGGAAACAGGAGCCUCGGCACCACUGGCGGGCAAGUGAAAGAGCGCAGCGGCCACGGACGGUAGCUCGGGCCCCUCCCAAGUUGGAAGGAGUUACCGCACGGCCCGCAAGCCCACGCCUCGGUGCACGACGUCUGCGGCAGCGCCGCCCCGGCCGCCGAGACAAGCGACGCCGGCGCCCACCCCGCGCGUGGGAGCGGACCACCGGACGAGGCCCCUCCGUGCAGAACACCCUUGGGCCCGCAGAGCAGGGCCGCCCGACCCGGGCUGCGGCUCGAGCUGAGGAAGCCGGCGGUCCCUGCCUGCGGCGGAACGGCUUCCAGCCGACAUGUCCAGAAGAGGCCGAUCCACGGACGGGACAGCCCGUCCCGUGCCCAGGACAGGGAGGGGGCUUGGGGGAGCGGCCGUGGCUUCCCCGGGGCACGCGGUCAUCUGGGCUGAAGAAGUCCUGGCGCUGGAGGAGGGGGCAGCCGCCGCCUGUGAAGACACACGAGCGGGUCUGCAUCUCACCCCCAAAGGAAUCAGAUCCCGCCAAGAGCUUGCGCCACGGCGUUCACGGCAGCACUGCGUGUCGUCGCCCAGAUCUGGAAACACUCCAAGUGUCCUUCCGUGGUGGACGGACGGACAAGCCGUGACACGAAAGCCCUCAAAGGAGGAACGAGUGAGCCACGGGGGCGCCUUGGGCGGGACGCUGAGACACCAAACGCAGCCUCGGCCCAGGCCGAACUGUCUGGCAAAGAUGCGGGAGUCCCAGGUGCUAGCGCCGGACGGAGGCCAGUGUUGGGGGGGCCGGGGGCCGCGGGUGGCAUCUGGCUCGGUGGCCUUGACGGGCUGUGCAGCAGUGGGACUGUGCCCCGGACGCCGGUCCACCUGGGACGGCGGCUUCGGAUGCGGUUCACACGCCAGCCGGCCAGCUCUGGAGACCCGAGCGGCUGCUUCUUCGGCCGCUGGCUUUGCAAGGAGGGGGCAUCACCUCCUUCCAGGCCCAGGCCCCGUCCAGCACACAGGCCGCUCACGGGAGUCGGGCUGCACCGAGGUCCUGGUGGCCUCCACGCCUCCCUUGGGACACUUUCAGGCCUUGGAAGACUGCCCCGCGGGACACGUGCUUGGCCGUCAGGUCAGUACGACGUUUAAUAGGAAACCGUGCUUUUCACGGGAAGAGCUUCGGGACGGUGUAACGAGUCAGCUCUUGCCUCGGCAUCAGAAAAGCAACUUGGUUUUGGUCUCAAGUCUGAGAGCAGAAACCCUGUCCAUUCCUGUAUUUGAAUCAAUCACGUAGCCUGAUUCGUGGCUUGUUUUCGCUCACAGGACAGGACGGCCUUGGUCGCCAUGGGCACAAUGGCUGUAAGCGCCUGCUGGCAGGAGCCCGUGUCCCGGGCAGGAGCCACACGUCUGCUCUGAUGUCCCCAGGACACCCUCCUCCGCAGGUUCCGGCCAGAGCUAGACCGUGAUGGGGGCCACCUGCCCAGGAGCGGCAACACGUGCUCAUCCGCCGCCCGGGAGGCCUCGCUCAGCGACAGGACCCCGGCCGGUGGCCCGGAGGAGAACAACAGGACAUGCCGCCCCAUCCGUGGGCAGCUCAGUCAGAGCAAAGGUCUGGGCGAGAACAGCCUCCGGGGGCUUCUCUCAGGUCGAGCUUCACACCCACGUCGGAGUUCCUGCUGUGGCACAGGGGCUUAAGGGAUCUGGUGGUGUCACUGCCGUGGCACAGGUUCAAUCCCUGGCCCGGGAACUUCCAUACGCUGUGGGUGCAGCCUUAAAAAUACAGUAAAAAUUAAAACCAUGUUCCACUAGUCCUCAGUUCUUGAGGACAUGUGCUUUUGUUAAAAUCCACUCUGUCUCCAUCUAGCAAAUAGUUUUAAAAUUAACACCAAAACAACUGACCUGAUAUCCAUGAGCCACAUGUGGCGAUGACACUGCAGAAUGGCAGACGAGCGUCUCUUCCGCACGCGGGCGAGCACACACACGCACUCCCACACGUGCACCGGCAGGUCGAGUUCACGAUGACUAGUAACCGAGGAGAGCGGCCCACGUGCGCAGGCCGGGCAGGGGUCAGCGCAGGAUGCGGGCUGGCCGGACACUCGGCGGUGUGGUUCAGACGUGAUGGAGGCAGGGACAUGAUGGAGGCAGAAACCCACGCCUGUCCCCGCCAGCGGCGGGAAGCCCUCCGCUCAGCGCCCACGCCUCGCUCGCCGCGCUUUCAUCCUGGGCGGAUGGGUCGGGGGGCGCGAGGGGCCUACACUCUUUAUAAAGCAGAACAAUCUACACUCUUCAGAGAAACACACCAGAUUCUGGAAUAUCUAAAGUCCACCAACACGGUGUCUAGGCUACAACCCUGAAGUAGCAGACGCACGAGGUAGGGGGACGCUUACUCGGAAUAAAAGAACAUUAAUGGAGGACUUCCCGUCGUGGCGCAGUGGUUAACGACUCCGACUAGGAACGUGGGGUUGCGGGUUCGAUCCCGGCCUUGCUCAGUGGGUGAAGGAUCUGGCGUUGCCGUGAGCUGUGGGGUAGAUCGCAGAUGCGGCUCGGAUCCUGUGUUGCCGUGGCUGUGGUGGAGGCCGGCGGCUGCAGCUCCGAUUGGACCCUAGCCUGGGAACCUCCAUAUGCCACGAGAGUGGCCCUAGAAAAGACAAAAAG